rnacentral:lncRNA from 1 species
GUAUGAACCUACAAUCAACCCUGUCCUUUUGUGUCCCCAAGAUAUGCUUUUUGAGGGCAGGACAUGUGCACAUCCACAAACCCAAACAUAGCUGUCAAGCAUCUCCAGUCCCAAUCUCACAGGAGACAGCUCGUAGGAACACCAUGGGGCUUACAAAGGAUUUUCAGGCCCAGAAACCAGUGUUAUAAAUAUAUAUUUAUGAAACACCAGAGCUAUAAUCAAAUGUAUACAAGAACUAGAACUUAAGAACUCAGUGAACUGAGACAACUGAGAGUUUAAAGCAUCAGUAGAAAAUUUCACUGGAUGUUUAUCAGUCAGCAAUAUUGAUGAAAUACUUGAAUGAUUCCUACAUCUAACUUAUGGAGUACAUGAAGCUGCAGCAAGGCUUAAUUUUGUGCAGGAAUGCCAACCCAAUUCCUUCUACCAACCCUCUCUAUGAAGAGGAGUGAUCGGGCAAAUCUCUUGAGAAAAGGAGACCUAACAACUCCUUACCCAUAUUGCCAUGGAGACACCCACACAAACAGAGCACCUCCUUCUUCCAGAGUCUCCAGUCAUUCCCGGCUCCAGGGCCAUACAGUGAGAGACGGAGCACACCAGAAGUUCAGCUUGCCUCAGCAGACGCCCUAACGCCUCCUCUAUUUCUGCGUGCUAUGGAAGAGCAUCUGAACCAAGUGCUGCGUUUCACUCUGAUGGAAAAGUUAUCAAGGAGAUCAAAGAGUCAAGUAGGAGAAAGUCAAAGUAGGAGAAAGUCAUAAUCCUACAUACUUGCUGGAGUGGGAUGUGUAAGAAGUUAUGCAAAUAAAUGAGAAUUGUAGGAAAGCA